rnacentral:rRNA from 1 species
AUGCUAUAUGGUAAACGACUGUUCCAACAGUAUGUGGUUGAUAUGUACAUCAAGGUUGAAAGCUCAAGAUUGGACUAUAUCAGAAAUCACCAGAAACAAAUACGUGCUGAUCUAUACCAAGGUGUUGUUGAUAGCCUUCAAGCUGGGGAAAAACGUGCGGAUGCAGUGGGCAAAUGGACUAUACUUCCUACAUCAUUUAUUGGGGGAAAAAGAGAUAGGAGACGAAGGUAUCUUGAUGCCAUGGCCUUGGUGCAAAAGUAUGGGAAACCAGAUAUAUUUUUAACCAUGACUUGCAAUCCAAAUUGGGAUGAGAUAAUUAGUGAGCUAGAGCCUGGACAAACCCCACAGGAUCGCCCUGAUCUUAUCGUACGAGUAUUUCGAGCAAAGUUGGAAGACCUCAAGAUACAACUUUUUAAGAAGCACAUGCUCGACAAAUCCAAGUACCCAGAGUUGUACAAAAUGGUCGUCAAGCACAUGAUGCAUGGCCCGUGUGGAGUCCUCAACCCCAAGAACGUGUGCAUGCAAAAUGGUAGCUGCAAGAACUACUAUCCACGACCAUUUAAUGCGUCAACCCUUCAGGGAAAGGACUCAUAUCCCAUAUACCGGAGGAGAGAUGAUGGACGUCGUGCGAAGGUAUGGGGUGAAGAUUUAGACAAUAGGUGGGUUGUUCCAUACAAUCCUUACCUACUAAGAAGGUAUAACUGCCACAUCAAUGUUGAGGUUUGCUCAAGCAUAAAAGUUGUGAAGUACCUCUUUAAAUACAUAUAUAAGGGGCAUGAUCGAGCAUCUGUUUCUAUCGACGCGGUGGAUAGUGACGGAAACAUUGAUGAAAUAAAGCAAUACAGAGAUUCCAGAUGGGUUACACCACCAGAAGCAUUAUGGAGGAUCUAUGGUUUUGACCUUAGUGAGAUAUUUCCUUCUGUUAGGCAGCUACAACUCCACCUCCCUAAUAUGCACAUGGUGUCAUUCCCGGCGGGCGCAAAUCUGAAUGAUGUCCUCUCCCAGGAAGGAGCUCCCAAGACCAUGCUAACCGAGUAUUUUGAAGCAAACAAGAAGUAUGAGUUGGCCUGGGGAAUUUUAUAUAAGGAUUUUCCGGCAUCUUUUAUUUGGAUCUCGGGUGGAAAGUAUUGGAAAAGGAGGGAUGAACGCACACAGAUCGGGAGAAUUGUGUCUGCUCAUCCAGCCGAAGGGGAGAGGUAUUAUCUUAGAGUGCUUCUAAACCAUGUCACAGGUGCUACAUCUUUCCAAGACCUAAGGACAGUGGAUGGUAUUGUUUUCCCGACAUUUCGUGAAGCUGCUGAAAGGAGGGGUCUUAUCGAGUCAGAUAAUACUAUUGACGAGUGUCUUAAUGAAGCUGAGGUUUUUCAGAUGCCAUCUUCCCUUCGAAGGCUAUUUGCCACUAUAUUGGUCUUUUGUGAGCCCAGCAAUGUGCGUGUUCUAUGGGACAGGCACUUGGAAGCUAUGACAGAAGACUAUCGACUAUACCACAUGUCCCCUCAUGCAGUUGAGCAGAUGGCUUUGUUAGAUAUAAAAAGUAUGUUUGAAUCGAUGGGGAAGGACAUAUCAUCAUUCCCUCUUCCAGAAAUUGAUGAGUCGUAUGAUGGCUCAAAUAACGAGGCUAGGGAGAUCACAGAGGAGUCGACGAUAGGGGUGAACCCAGAACACCUUGGCUUUUCAUCUUUCCUAAACCCAGAACAGAGAUAUGCAUAUGAUGAGAUACUUGCAACAAUCAAUAGUGGCCAAGGAGGUGUGUUCUUUGUUGAUGGACCAGGAGGCACUGGAAAGACUUAUCUAUACAAAGCACUACUUGCAAAAGUACGUGGUGAGGGUAAAAUAGCUAUUGCAAUAGCGACAUCAGGCGUUGCUGCAUCCAUCUUGCCCGGCGGGAGGACUGCACACUCAAGGUUUAAAAUACCAUUGAACAUUGAAGAUGGUGGAGUUUGCAGCUUCACCAAGCAAAGUGGGACAGCUAAGCUUCUUAUGAGCGCCUCCCUCAUAAUUUGGGAUGAGGCCUCCAUGACAAGGAGACAGGCAGUCGAGGCCCUUGAUAAUAGCAUGAGGGACAUCAUGGCUCAACCUGACCUGCCAUUUGGCGGAAAGACUAUCGUGUUUGGGGGAGAUUUCAGACAAGUGCUUCCUGUUGUUCGCAAGGGAACAAGGUCACAAAUAAUUGACGCGACGCUACGCAAGUCUUACCUUUGGGAGAGUAUGAGACAUAUAAGACUUGUCCGUAAUAUGAGGGCUCAAAGUGAUCCAUGGUUUGCUGAUUAUCUUCUGCGUGUUGGGAAUGGCACCGAAGAUACUAUGGAUGAUGGUUACAUACGAUUCCCAGAUGAGAUUUGUGUACCAUAUACCGGCGUUGCCUCUGAUAUUGACAAGCUUAUUGAAAGUGUUUUCCCGAUGCCGCUAGAUGAAAACCUCUUGGAUCCAAACUACAUAACGUCCCGAGCAAUUCUAUCAACUCGGAAUGAGUACGUUGACAAAAUCAAUAUGAGGAUGAUUGAGAGAUUUCCUGGGGAGGAGAUGAUAUACUACAGUUUUGAUCGCGCGGAGGAUGAUCCACACAACUACUACCCUGCAGAAUUCUUGAAUUCAUUGACACCUAAUGGUAUACCUCCCCAUAUCCUCAAGUUGAAGAUAAUUGUUCUAUUAUAUUGUUACGGAACAUUGACCCAGCGAGUGGGUUGUGCAACGGGACGAGGCUGA